UACGUAGGUGGCAAGCGUUGUCCGGAUUUACUGGGCGUAAAGAGCGCGCAGGCGGUCGUUCAAGUCGCGUGUGAAAGCCCCCGGCUCAACUGGGGAGGGUCACGCGAUACUGAUCGACUCGAAGGCAGGAGAGGGUAGUGGAAUUCCCGGUGUAGUGGUGAAAUGCGUAGAUAUCGGGAGGAACACCAGUGGCGAAGGCGACUACCUGCCUGUUCUUGACGCUGGAGGCGGCGAAAGCUAGGGGAGCAAACGGG
rnacentral:rRNA from 1 species